rnacentral:rRNA from 1 species
GUCGAACGGUAACAUUUCUAGCUUGCUAGAAGAUGACGAGUGGCGGACGGGUGAGUAAUGCUUGGGAACUUGCCUUUGCGAGGGGGAUAACAGUUGGAAACGACUGCUAAUACCGCAUAAUGUCUACGGACCAAACGGGGCUUAGGCUCCGGCGCAAAGAGAGGCCCAAGUGAGAUUAGCUAGUUGGUAAGGUAAUGGCUUACCAAGGCAACAAUCUCUAGCUGUUCUGAGAGGAAGAUCAGCCACACUGGAACUGAGACACGGUCCAGACUCCUACGGGAGGCAGCAGUGGGGAAUAUUGCACAAUGGGGGAAACCCUGAUGCAGCCAUGCCGCGUGUGUGAAGAAGGCCUUCGGGUUGUAAAGCACUUUCAGUUGUGAGGAAAAGUUAGUAGUUAAUACCUGCUAGCCGUGACGUUAACAACAGAAGAAGCACCGGCUAACUCCGUGCCAGCAGCCGCGGUAAUACGGAGGGUGCGAGCGUUAAUCGGAAUUACUGGGCGUAAAGCGCACGCAGGCGGUUUGUUAAGCUAGAUGUGAAAGCCCCGGGCUCAACCUGGGUUAGUCAUUUAGAACUGGCAGACUAGAGUCUUGGAGAGGGGAGUGGAAUUCCAGGUGUAGCGGUGAAAUGCGUAGAUAUCUGGAGGAACAUCAGUGGCGAAGGCGACUCCCUGGCCAAAGACUGACGCUCAUGUGCGAAAGUGUGGGUAGCGAACAGGAUUAGAUACCCUGGUAGUCCACACCGUAAACGCUGUCUACUAGCUGUUAGUGACUUUAAGUCGUGAGUAGCGAA